GAGAGAGUGCAUAUCAGAUCCAAAAAAGUGUUCGUCUUCCUCACUAACGACAUCCCCCAUUCUCUCCAUCUCUCGACCUCAACCUCUCGUCGUCUCUCAAUCUCUCGUCAUCUCCCACUCGCUUGCACCAACCUCACAAUACCCUACCCUCAUCCCAAAUGCACAAAUCCACGGCUUUAAAGCAAUCCAAACAAUAAAGCCUACCUUCGGUGGUGGUUCGGUAGUGACGGUGAGGCUUGGAUCUGCCUUCUUUACCUCAAAGCUUUCUCUUUGAAGUUCUUCUCCUUCGCCGUUUCAAUCUAGGUUUUUUCGCCGUUUUCGAAUUAGGGUUUUUCCUCCCCCUUCUCGCCUCCGCUUCCCUCCUUUUAUAUCAACAACUUAGGGUUUUUUUGAGCUGUCUCCCGGAAAUCCAAAAGGGCAUCUUCUGUAUUGAUUUAAGGCGCUCAGACUUUGGUCUGCCUCAUUUGGCGCUCGACAUGAAAACGUGAAAACUGGUGAAAAUUAAAACUUCGGUUAUUUGCAAAGCUUCGAUUAUGAGCACGGGUUGAGUGAAUUGCAGCAUGGUCUCAUUAUGCAGGUUUUUCAUGAGUUUAUGCAGCAGGUGAUAAUGUGAACUGCAAGACACCUGUAUCAUUUUCCAUGUAACUGGUGUGUUCAUAUGGUGUUGCAGAUAAGGGGUUAUGGCAAGGAAUGCAUGAGGUCUGCUAUUGUGCAAUCUAGGUAUGCUUAUUGCUGCAAAACUCUUCUGCAAUCCUAGUUUGGACUGAUGUAGGAGUUUUGAUAUGCAUGAUUCUAACUUGUCUCAUGUGCUAAUGGACGGUAUGGAUUGAUGACAAUGCCAUUCUGCAAAUGAGAUUCACAUUGUUUUGUACAGUCUUCAACAUGUAUGCAUGUCUGAUGUCGAGCUUGCAAGGUUUUAUUUCGGUUUGUGAUGGCUUUUGCUCAUUGCGGGUCUGGUUUGGGCAUUGUGAUGGACGUUGCAGAAUGUGCAAGUAGAUUCCUUCGUGGUUCAUGUUCUUGUGAGGGUUAACAGACAUUUGCUACUUGCUGAGAUGGUAGCUUGAAUGCAGGUACAUUCUAACUUUGGUUCAUCAUGGUUUUGGCUCAGCUUAAAGGAGCGAUGACACCGACAGAAGUAUGUGAAGGACUAGGUCUGUUUGAACUAAGGAAUAGAAAAUGGCACAUACAAAGAACUUGUGGUUUUAACGGAGAUGGCCUUUUUGAAGGCUUAGACUGGUUGGCUUCAACUCUGAAGGAGAAAAAAGGCUGUUGUGUUGAUUCAUGUAUUGAUUUCAAAAUUGGCUCAUGUAUGGAAAUUCAAGUGUACGGUUUUGUUAUUGGUUCAUGAUGUAAGAACUACUCGGAAAUGCAAGGCUAUGAAUGGACAUUGGUUUCGCUUGUGGAUUGGAAUGCUUGGAAAGAGGAAUUAGAAUCUAUGAUAAUGUUUUGAGCAUGUAAUCUAUGGUUGGAAUUGGUUUUUAACUUUUAAUUUUUGUGAUUUGGAUGGAAUCGUAUUAUAAAGUUAGUGAAUUGUAUUGAAUGGUUGAA